GACGGGACCGCACAAGCGGUGGAUGAUGUGGUUAAUUCGAUGCAACGCGAAAACCUUACCACCUUUGACAUGUACGGAAUCCUUUAGAGAUAGAGGAGUGCUCGAAAGAGAGCCGUAACACAGGUGCUGCAUGGCUGUCGUCAGCUCGUGUCGUGAGAUGUUGGGUUAAGUCCCGCAACGAGCGCAACCCUUGUCAUUAGUUGCUACAUUCAGUUGGGCACUCUAAUGAGACUGCCGGUGACAAACCGGAGGAAGGUGGGGAUGACGUCAAGUCCUCAUGGCCCUUAUAGGUGGGGCUACACACGUCAUACAAUGGAUGGUACAAAGGGUCGCCAACCCGCGAGGGGGAGCCAAUCCCAUAAAGCCAUUCGUAGUCCGGAUCGCAGUCUGCAACUCGACUGCGUGAAGUCGGAAUCGCUAGUAAUCGCAGGUCAGCAUACUGCGGUGAAUACGUUCCCGGGCCUU
rnacentral:rRNA from 1 species